UACGGAGGGGGCAAGCGUUAUUCGGAAUUAUUGGGCGUAAAGGGCGCGUAGGCGGCUUUGCAAGUGAGGGGUGAAAGCCCUCGGCUUAACCGAGGAACUGCCUGUGAGACUGUAAGGCUUGAGUCCGGGAGAGGUGAGUGGAAUUCCCAGUGUAGCGGUGAAAUGCGUAGAUAUUGGGAGGAACACCAGUGGCGAAGGCGGCUCGCUGGACCGGAACUGACGCUGAGGCGCGAAAGCGUGGGGAGCAAACAGG
rnacentral:rRNA from 1 species